AUUGAACGCUGGCGGCAUGCCUUACACAUGCAAGUCGAACGGUAACAGAUCUUCAGAUGCUGACGAGUGGCGAACGGGUGAGUAAUACAUCGGAACGUGCCUAGUAGUGGGGGAUAACUACUCGAAAGAGUGGCUAAUACCGCAUGAGAUCUACGGAUGAAAGCAGGGGAUCGCAAGACCUUGUGCUACUAGAGCGGCCGAUGGCAGAUUAGGUAGUUGGUGGGAUAAAAGCUUACCAAGCCGACGAUCUGUAGCUGGUCUGAGAGGACGAUCAGCCACACUGGGACUGAGACACGGCCCAGACUCCUACGGGAGGCAGCAGUGGGGAAUUUUGGACAAUGGGCGCAAGCCUGAUCCAGCAAUGCCGCGUGCAGGAUGAAGGCCUUCGGGUUGUAAACUGCUUUUGUACGGAACGAAAAGCCCCGGGUUAAUACCCUGGGGUCAUGACGGUACCGUAAGAAUAAGCACCGGCUAACUACGUGCCAGCAGCCGCAGUAACAC
rnacentral:rRNA from 1 species